rnacentral:rRNA from 1 species
CCUACGGGAGGCAGCAGUGGGGAAUAUUGGGCAAUGGGCGCAAGCCUGACCCAGCAACGCCGCGUGAAGGAAGAAGGCUUUCGGGUUGUAAACUUCUGUUAAGAGGGAAGAGCAGAAGACGGUACCUCUUGAAUAAGCCACGUCUAACUACGUGCCAGCAGCCGGGGUAAUACGUAGGUGGCAAGCGUUGUCCGGAUUUACGGGGGGGAAAGGGCGUGAAGCCGGGAAGACAAGUCAGAGGUGAAAUCCCGCGGCUCAACCGCGGAACUGCUUUUGAAACUGUAUUUAGUGAGUACCGGAGAGGUCAUCGGAAUUCCUUGUGUAGCGGUGAAAUGCGUAGAUAUAAGGAAGAAAACCAGUGGCGAAGGCGGAUGACGGGACGGCAAC